rnacentral:rRNA from 1 species
GUUGAACGCUGGCGGCGUGCCUAACACAUGCAAGUCGAGCGGAGCGGCGGACGGAUGAGUAAUGGCUAGGGAUCUGCCUGGUCGUCGGGGAUAAUGUCCGGAAACGAGAGCUAGUACCGCAAACUAUAAGAUGAGCCUAGGUCGGAUUAGCUAGUGGGGGGGGUAAAGGCCUACCAAGGCGACGAUCCGUAACUGGUCUGAGCGGAUGAUCAGUCAACCGGGAAAUGAGACACGGUCCAGACUCCUACGGGAGGCAGCAGUGGGGAAUAUUGGCCAAUGGGCGAAAGCCUGACCCAGCCAGGCCGCGUGUGUGAAGAAGGUCUUCGGAUUGUAAAGCACGUUAAGUUGGGAGGCGUUACCAACAGAAUAAGCACCGGCUAACUUCGUGCCAGCAGCCGCGGUAAUUC